ensembl:lncRNA
AGAGGUUAUGGAUGGCCCACCCCAGAGGUGCUAAAGGCUAGGUUAGAUGGAGCCCUGUGCAGCCUGAUCUGGUGGGUGGCCCCCAGCAGGGGGUUGGAACUGGAGGGGACUGAAGUUCUUUCCAACCUAAGCUAUGAUUCUGUGAAUCCAGUGUCGUGUUUCUAAUAGUUGCUAGCAGGGGAUAUCAAUGGAGGGGACUCCCUGAGCCAGGUGUGCAUUCUUUAUGUUAAAGAACCUUCUAUGCAUUUUCUUCCAUUAUCUUAUUCAGUUGUUCUUUGAAUCCAUGCAUGCUUUACAGCGUGCACAGCAUCCUGCUUGAGGAAUUUCACAGUGAACUGUAGAGCCAUCUACUUUUUGCUCAACAUGUUACUUGCCAUCUUCAUUGGAAGAAACAUCAAAUGUACUGUUCCCUAUUCACUUUCUCACUGUCACUUAUGGAUCUGCUCUAUCAGAUUCCACUCUUUUAAUAUAUUGACUCCUCCCUUAAAACUUGUUUUAUAACUUCAGCAGCUGCUGUCACUUCCUAUCAUUAAUUGGGGAGUGCAUCACUGGCUGUUUAACAGCAUGUUUUCCUUGCUGCUUUCAUUACCUAUUUUCCAUCCUGCAGCCAUGUGCCACCCAUUUUCCAUGGAAAACUUUCUUGGGCUGCCCAGCUGUGCUGAAGCAGCUGUGUUGCUGUUGGCCUGGUAAAGCUCCAGUAAGUUGCAGAGCAUAUAUGAAUAUCUAUGUGUUUGUAUAUGUUAUAUAUCACACUAGCAGAAAUGUGUAGAGAAUCUCAAUUAUGGCUGUGCAGCAUCCGUCUUGUCUUUGUUCUGCAUUCAAGCUAAUGAGAUUUGGCUUUCAGCAUCACUGCAAUUUGUGUAAUAAUUUAAUCAUGAAAUAUCUUUGCAUAUAAUAACCAUCAUGAGUUCAAGGCAUUCUCAGAGUGAUGCUGGUAAGCCUGUGGCUAUGUGGAAUUGUUGCUUUGAAAGCUAAAUGAGAUAUAACUUGCUGUAUCAAAGACAGUGGAUAUUUGAUCAGUAUUGGAUGUAACAAGAAGAAACUGCUUUAGGACUGCUGAAGUUUGACUCCUCCUGCAUUGCUGCUCAGUGGAAGGCUACUAAAGCCUUUGCUUCCUCAUUGCAGAGAGAACCCCGGGUCUAUGAGAGGAAUUCUGAAGUUCAGACUUACGUUACCAACCAAAAUCUCAUGCUAAUAAGCAGUCAUCUCUUGAUGACGUUUUUAAAAGCAGUCAGCUUGUCCAGACCCUGUGCAGAAGGCUAAAAAGUCAGCCUCCAAAAUGUCAGCAUUUUGCACCACUUCCCCCAUUACUGGAAGGUGAAAUGGGAUGCGACAGUCCUGAUGAUUUUCUUUGCACCAAAUCCUCAGUGCCAUUCUGGAAGAACACAGAAAAAAUGUAUACAAGGCAAAAAGGAGUUUACUUUCCUUGUAUGCCUUUUUAUUUUCCUAACGUUUCUUCACUAAUGUUAUUCAGGGGAGUUGGAGUAGAUGAUCUUUAAAGAUUCCUUCCAACCUAAACCAUUCUGUGAAUCUAAGAAAUCAUAAUGCAUUUUACUGUUGCUGUGUAUAUAAACUGUAUUUCUUAAAUAUAUCCACGUUUCAUUCUUUUAUAUUAGUUAUAUUGGAAAAAAAAAAAUCUCUUUCUGUUGAACCACUCCAGCUAACAGAAAUGCAUCUGUGGCAAAUAAGGCAAUAUGGCUCAUAUUUCAUUUUCCUCUCUUCCAGAAAAAAGAUGUAUGUAGUCAGGUUCUUCCUCUAAGGCAUUAUGUGAUAUUCCAGUGUGACAGACUUAGAAUUAUGUAUGGUUUCAUGUAAAGGGGAAAGGCAUGAGCAUUUAAAUGUAAGAUAAACCAGAGCAAUCAAUAAAGCAUACAUUCAUGAAUAGACACAAGCAUUACACUUGACAGUGUGCAUGUUCUUGCUCUCACGUAUACUUCUGGAUGUUAAGCAGUCCUGCAGAUUGAAGGACUGACAAAAUACAUAUUCUUGCUGAAGCAGCUUGCACUUCUGCAAGAAGCCCAGACAUUUAUUUUUUUCCCCAAGUGGAGUUAACCACAUUGUUAAUGUGUUUCCCUUUCUUCAUUUUCUCAUUCUUAUUGCUCUUAAAAAUCACAAGAGUUCAAUGGUUGUAAUAUUCAGUUACUAACAAUGAUAUUUUAAAAUACAGUUUUGCAGCAAGAUUGUUAUACAAUAUAAUUAUUCAGUGUUUUUCUUGAGAAGCAAGCAAAAAGGUUGUUUUUUGAUUAUUUUUUUUUCUGGUAUUCCUCGUAUUUGGAACAAUGUGGAAGACAUAGGCUUC